UACGUAGGGGGCGAGCGUUGUCCGAAGUUACUGGGCGUAAAGCGCGCGUAGGCGGCCAUUUAAGUUUGGGGUGAAAGGUUCAGCGCUCAACGCGAACAGUGCCUUGAAUACUGGGUGGCUUGAGUUCGGGAGAGGGCAGUGGAAUUCCUGGUGUAGCGGUGAAAUGCGUAGAUAUCAGGAGGAACACCGGUGGCGAAGGCGGCUGCCUGGCCUAGAACUGACGCUGAGGUGCGAAAGCGUGGGGAGCGAACGGG
rnacentral:rRNA from 1 species